rnacentral:rRNA from 1 species
AUUGAACGCUGGCGGCAGGCCUAACACAUGCAAGUCGAACGAGUGGCGGACGGGUGAGUAAUGUCUGGGAAACUGCCUGAUGGAGGGGGGUCACUACUGGGAACUGUCACUAAUUCCGCAUACCAUCAGCUUUGCCCAGGUGGGAUGAGCUUGUUGGUGGGGGAACGGCUCACAAAGGCGACGAUCCCUCGCUGGUCUGAGAGGAUGACCAGCCAAACUGGAACUGAGACACGGCCCAGACUCCUACGGGAGGCAGCAGUGGGGAAUAUUGCAAAAUGGGCGAAAGCCUGAUGCAGCCAUGCCGCGUGUAUGAAGAAGGCCUUCGGUUUGUAAAGUACUUUCAGCGGGGAGGCGUUACCCGCAGAAGAAGCACCGGCUAACUCCGUGCCAGCAGCCGCGGUAAUAC